UACGUAGGGGGCUAGCGUUGUCCGGAAUCAUUGGGCGUAAAGAGCGUGUAGGCGGCUCGGUAAGUCCGCUGUAAAAGUCCAGGGCUCAACCCUGGAAUGCCAGUGGAAACUGUCGAGCUAGAGUCCGGAAGAGGCGAGUGGAAUUCCUGGUGUAGCGGUGAAAUGCGCAGAUAUCAGGAGGAACACCAAUGGCGAAGGCAGCUCGCUGGGACGGUACUGACGCUGAGACGCGAAAGCGUGGGGAGCAAACAGG
rnacentral:rRNA from 1 species